UACGUAGGGUGCGAGCGUUAAUCGGAAUUACUGGGCGUAAAGCGCGCGUAGGUGGUUUGUUAAGUUGGAUGUGAAAGCCCCGGGCUCAACCUGGGAACUGCAUCCAAAACUGGCAAGCUAGAGUACGGUAGGGGGUGGUGGAAUUUCCUGUGUAGCGGUGAAAUGCGUAGAUAUAGGAAGGAACACCAGUGGCGAAGGCGACCACCUGGACUGAUACUGACACUGAGGUGCGAAAGCGUGGGGAGCAAACAGG
rnacentral:rRNA from 1 species